rnacentral:rRNA from 1 species
GACGAACGCUGGCGGCGUGCUUAACACAUGCAAGUCGAACGGAAAGGCCCUGCUUUUGUGGGGUGCUCGAGUGGAGAACGGGUGUGAAACACGUGAGUAACCUGCUCCUGACUGUGGGAUAACUUCAGGACACUGGGGAUAAUACCGGAUAGGAGCUCCUGCUGCAUGUGGGGGGUUGGAAAGUUUCGGCGGUUGGGGAUGGACUCGCGGCUUACCAGCUGGUUGGUGGGGUAGUGGCUUACCAAGGCUUUGACGGGUAGCCGGCCUGGGAGGGUGACCGGCCACAUUGGGACUGAGAUACGGCCCAGACUCCUACGGGAGGCAGCAGUGGGGAAUAUUGCACAAUGGGCGGAAGCCUGAUGCAGGAACGCCGCGUGCGGGAUGACGGCCUUCGGGUUGUAAACCGCUUUCGCCGGUGACGAAGCGUGAGUGACGGUAAUUGGUAAAGAAGCACCGGCUAACUACGUG